UGGGGAAUAUUGCACAAUGGGCGCAAGCCUGAUGCAGCCAUGCCGCGUGUGUGAAGAAGGCCUUCGGGUUGUAAAGCACUUUCAGCGGGGAGGAAGGCGUUAAGGUUAAUAACCUUGGCGAUUGACGUUACCCGCAGAAGAAGCACCGGCUAACUCCGUGCCAGCAGCCGCGGUAAUACGGAGGGUGCAAGCGUUAAUCGGAAUUACUGGGCGUAAAGCGCACGCAGGCGGUUUGUUAAGUCAGAUGUGAAAUCCCCGGGCUCAACCUGGGAACUGCAUCUGAUACUGGCAGGCUAGAGUCUUGUAGAGGGGGGUAGAAUUCCAGGUGUAGCGGUGAAAUGCGUAGAGAUCUGGAGGAAUACCGGUGGCGAAGGCGGCCCCCUGGACAAAGACUGACGCUCAGGUGCGAAAGCGUGGGGAGCAAACAGG
rnacentral:rRNA from 1 species